rnacentral:rRNA from 1 species
UGGUUUCUCCCUUCUGACGAAGCAUGAUGUCAUUAAUUUGGUGUCGUGGGGAAUCAGGACUGUUACUUUGAAAAAAUUAGAGUGUUUAAAGCAAGCAUUAGCUUGAAUACAUUAGCAUGGAAUAAUGAAAUAGGACGUUUGAUCCUAUUUCGUUGGUUUCUAGGAUCGACGUAAUGAUUAAUAGGGAUAGUUGGGGGCAUUAGUAUUCAAUUGUCAGAGGUGAAAUUCUUGGAUUUAUUGAAGACUAACUACUGCGAAAGCAUUUGCCAAGGAUGUUUUCAUUAAUCAAGAACGAAAGUUAGGGGAUCGAAGACGAUCAGAUACCGUCGUAGUCUUAACCAUAAACUAUGCCGACUAGGGAUCGGAUGAUGUUAAUUUUUUAAUGACUCAUUCGGCGCCUUACG